CUGAACCUGGGAGGUGGAGCUUGCAGUGAGCCGAGAUCGCGCCACUGCACUCCAGCCUGGGCGACAGAGCGAGACUCUGUCUCAGAAAAGAAAAGAAAAGAAGAGAAGAGAAGAAAAGAAAAAAUCCUGAAGCAAAUGGAGCAAAUUUUGAACAGCUUGAAUACCUGAGACAGGCCAGGGGCCGAGGCAGGUGGAUCACUAGGUCAGGAGUUUGAGACCAUCCUGGCCAACAUGGAGACACCUCAUCUCUACUAAAAAUACAAAAAUUAUCUGGGCGUGGCGGUGGGCGCCUGUAAUCCCAGCUACUUGUGAGGCUGAAGCAGGAGAAUCGCUUGAACUCGGGAAGCGGAGGUUGCAGUGAGCUGAAAUCGCACCACUGCACUCCAGCCUGGGCAACAGGGCGAGAUUCCGUCUCAAAAAAAAAAGAAGCAUGUUUCCUAGCAAGCCAAUUCAGA
rnacentral:lncRNA from 1 species